rnacentral:lncRNA from 1 species
UCCUAGAGAUGCUAGAAAUCUGGAGAACUUUAUCUUUGAAAAUCUUUAAAAUAUUACAUGAUGAGUUCCUGUAUGAUGAGAGUUUAAAUUCCUACCACAGCCAUAUAUACAUGCUUGCUAGACUUUGAGCCACACAUUUACUAUUUACUGCUUAUGAGCAUUGAGUGUGGUCAAGCUGUGUAGACCCUUAGGAGCUUGUCAUGUGGUUAAAUCAAGAUUCACUUGCACGUUCACUCACAUAUGCUGCUUUCUACUCCGGAAGUACACAUCCACAUAUAUCCACCCAUUUCCAUCUCCAGAACCACCCAAAAAUAUUCUACUCCUAAUCCGGGAGAGAAUAGCCAAAAAUAUUUCUGUUUUUCCCCUGUGAAAUAAAUGUUCAAGUUAUCUUGGUUACUACCACUUGCUAUAUUAUCUCAUGAGAUGAGUGCUCUGAAAAAAAGAAAAUACGAGGAAAUAAAAAGGGGCAAGUGCUCGAAACCUCGAAUAAAAGAAAAAGUGAGACGAGAGGUAAAAAUGGACAAGUGUCCGACAGUAGAAUUAGGGGUAUAAGAUACCCACCUGAGAGGAAAGAAAAAGAAAAGAUAGAGCAUCUCAUUCUCCGCAAAGUUUCAAAGUUUCAAAAAGCAAUAAAGGUAUGUAUCCCUUCAAAAGAGCAAAAGUAGAAUUAGACUUUCACCAUUGUUAUUACCAUCAUCACCAUACACCAUUCAUUCGCCACACUUGCACAUCUUGAUUUGACUUAUUGACUUGUUUCUUUGGAUCCAUGGUUUGACUAUACAAUAAAUGUCUUGUAAGUAUGUAUACUUUAUCUCCCACCUAUGAGCUCCAGAUAUCAAAAGCCUUAUUAGAGUAGGGUGAGAGAGAAGGCAAUGUCACUAUGCCUUAUACCACAAAUACUACAUACUUUGAGAGAAGGCAUGUACCAUCACUGCCUUGGUAAGGAUCCAGAAAUACCACAAAAGAG